UACGUAGGUGGCAAGCGUUGUCCGGAUUUACUGGGCGUAAAGGAUGCGUAGGCGGAUGAUUAAGUGAGAUGUGAAAUACCCGGGCUCAACUUGGGUGCUGCAUUUCAAACUGGUCAUCUAGAGUGCGGGAGAGGAAAGCGGAAUUCCUAGUGUAGCGGUGAAAUGCGUAGAGAUUAGGAAGAACACCAGUGGCGAAGGCGGCUUUCUGGACCGUAACUGACGCUGAGGCAUGAAAGCGUGGGGAGCAAACAGG
rnacentral:rRNA from 1 species